rnacentral:misc_RNA from 1 species
AAUUCUCAACCUUUAUCAUUGAUAAAUGGCUUGGAUUGUGGGGGUUGCUGGCUUUUGAGGUCAGCUCCCCUUAAAUGCAUUAGCUGGUGCCGGUAUUGGUGUGAUAAUUAUCUACGCCGUGGAUGUAGCACUGCUUCUAACGACAAUAAAUGACA